rnacentral:rRNA from 1 species
GACGAACGCUGGCGGCGUGCUUAACACAUGCAAGUCGAACGGAAAGGCCCUGCUUUUGUGGGGUGCUCGAGUGGCGAACGGGUGAGUAACACGUGAGUAACCUGCCCUUGACUUUGGGAUAACUUCAGGAAACUGGGGCUAAUACCGGAUAGGAGCUCCUGCUGCAUGGUGGGGGUUGGAAAGGUUCGGCGGUUGGGGAUGGACUCGCGGCUUAUCAGCUUGUUGGUGGGGUAGUGGCUUACCAAGGCUUUGACGGGUAGCCGGCCUGAGAGGGUGACCGGCCACCUUGGGACUGAGAUACGGCCCAGACUCCUACGGGAGGCAGCGGUGGGGAAUAUUGCACAAUGGGCGGAAGCCUGAUGCAGCAACGCCGCGUGCGGGAUGACGGCCUUCGGGUUGUAAACCGCUUUCGCCUGUGACGAAGCGUGAGUGACGGUAAUGGGUAAAGAAGCACCGGCUAACUACGUG